rnacentral:rRNA from 1 species
GACGAGGCACUACGGUGCUGAAGCAACAAAUGCCCUGCUUCCAGGAAAAGCCUCUAAGCAUCAGGUAACACGAAAUCGUACCCCAAACCGACACAGGUGGUCAGGUAGAGAAUACCAAGGCGCUUGAGAGAACUCGGGUGAAGGAACUAGGCAAAAUGGUGCCGUAACUUCGGGAGAAGGCACGCUGACACGUAGGUGAAGUGAUUUACUCAUGGAGCUGAAGUCAGUCGAAGAUACCAGCUGGCUGCAACUGUUUAUUAAAAACACAGCACUGUGCAAACACGAAAGUGGACGUAUACGGUGUGACGCCUGCCCGGUGCCGGAAGGUUAAUUGAUGGGGUCAGCGCAAGCGAAGCUCCUGAUCGAAGCCCCGGUAAACGGCGGCCGUAACUAUAACGGUCCUAAGGUAGCGAAAUUCCUUGUCGGGUAAGUUCCGACCUGCACGAAUGGCGUAAUGAUGGCCAGGCUGUCUCCACCCGAGACUCAGUGAAAUUGAACUCGCUGUGAAGAUGCAGUGUACCCGCGGCAAGACGGAAAGACCCCGUGAACCUUUACUAUAGCUUGACACUGAACAUUGAGCCUUGAUGUGUAGGAUAGGUGGGAGGCUUUGAAGUGUGGACGCCAGUCUGCAUGGAGCCGACCUUGAAAUACCACCCUUUAAUGUUUGAUGUUCUAACGUGGACCCGUAAUCCGGGUUGCGGACAGUGUCUGGUGGGUAGUUUGACUGGGGCGGUCUCCUCCUAAAGAGUAACGGAGGAGCACGAAGGUUGGCUAAUCCUGGUCGGACAUCAGGAGGUUAGUGCAAUGGCAUAAGCCAGCUUGACUGCGAGCGUGACGGCGCGAGCAGGUGCGAAAGCAGGUCAUAGUGAUCCGGUGGUUCUGAAUGGAAGGGCCAUCGCUCAACGGAUAAAAGGUACUCCGGGGAUAACAGGCUGAUACCGCCCAAGAGUUCAUAUCGACGGCGGUGUUUGGCACCUCGAUGUCGGCUCAUCACAUCCUGGGGCUGAAGUAGGUCCCAAGGGUAUGGCUGUUCGCCAUUUAAAGUGGUACGCGAGCUGGGUUUAGAACGUCGUGAGACAGUUCGGUCCCUAUCUGCCGUGGGCGCUGGAGAACUGAGGGGGGCUGCUCCUAGUACGAGAGGACCGGAGUGGACGCAUCACUGGUGUUCGGGUUGUCAUGCCAAUGGCACUGCCCGGUAGCUAAAUGCGGAAGAGAUAAGUGCUGAAAGCAUCUAAGCACGAAACUUGCCCCGAGAUGAGUUCUCCCUGAGACUUAGAGUC